GGGCCGAUAGUCGAACGGUAAGACGCCGCCUUCGCAAGGCGGAGACUCUGGGUUCAAUUCCCAGUCGGUCCA
rnacentral:tRNA from 1 species